rnacentral:rRNA from 1 species
GAGGAACGCUGGCGGCGUGCCUAAUACAUGCAAGUCGAGCGAACAGACGAGGAGCUUGCUCCUCUGACGUUAGCGGCGGACGGGUGAGUAACACGUGGAUAACCUACCUAUAAGACUGGGAUAACUUCGGGAAACCGGAGCUAAUACCGGAUAAUAGAUUUAACCCCAUGGUUCAAUAGUGAAAGAGGGUUUUUCUUUCACUUUUAGAUGGAUCCGCGCCUCAUUAGCUAGUUGGUAAGGUAACGGCUUACCAAGGCGACGAUGCGUAGCCGACCUGAGAGGGUGAUCCGCCACACUGGAACUGAGACACGGUCCAGACUCCUACGGGAGGCAGCAGUAGGGAAUCUUCCGCAAUGGGCGAAAGCCUGACGGAGCAACGCCGCGUGAGUGAUGAAGGUCUUCGGAUCGUAAAACUCUGUUAUUAGGGAAGAACAAAUGUGUAAGUAACUAUGCACGUCUUGACGGUACCUAAUCAGAAAGCCACGGCUAACUACGUG